UAUCUCUGUAGAGUCUGCAUAUCAAUAAGCGGAGGAAAAGAAACUAACUAGGAUUCCCUCAGUAACGGCGAGUGAAGCGGGAAGAGCUCGAAUUUGAAAUCUUCAAGGUUCUACCUUGACGAAUUGUAGUUUAAAGAAGUGUUUUCUGUUGGAGUUUUGGUAAAAGUUCUUUGGAAUAGGACAUCAUAGAGGGUGAGAAUCCCGUAUUUGACCAUUAUUUCCAACUUUGUGAUACACUUUCAAAGAGUCGGAUUGUUUGGGAAUGCAGUCCAAAAUGGGUGGUAAAUUUCAUCUAAAGCUAAAUACUGGCGAGAGACCGAUAGCGAACAAGUACCGUGAGGGAAAGAUGAAAAGAACUUUGAAAAGAGAGUUAAACAGUACGUGAAAUUGUCAAAAGGGAAGCGUUUGACACCAGUGUUGUUUUCUCGAAAAUCAAUUAAAAAUGGCGGGAUUUUGUGUUGUAUUGACUUUAUCAGCUUUCUGCACUUUUUUCCUGUCUUUUUUAAUGCACUUUUCGUUUAACAAGUCAACAUCAAUUUCUUUUGUUGUAAAAGGGUCAUUGGAAGGUGGCUUUCUUUUCGGAGAAAGUGUUUAUAGCCUUUGGCCUCUGCAAUCGGAGAGAUUGAGGUCUGCAGCGUAGAUCCUUCGGGGUUAGAUACAUUUGUGCUAAGUUAUAGCCUUUCAUAGACAACUUGUUGACUAUGAUCAGUCAUGUAGCUUACUCGCUUAUGCUAUUUUACCUACGCUUAGGAUGUUGAGUAGCGACAUACGCAC
rnacentral:rRNA from 1 species